AUUGAACGCUGGCGGCAUGCCUUACACAUGCAAGUCGAACGGCAGCACGGGUGCUUGCACCUGGUGGCGAGUGGCGAACGGGUGAGUAAUACAUCGGAACGUACCUUAUCGUGGGGGAUAACGCAGCGAAAGCUGUGCUAAUACCGCAUACGCCCGGAGGGGGAAAGCGGGGGAUCGCGAGACCUCGCGCGAUUAGAGCGGCCGAUGCCUGAUUAGCUAGUUGGGGGGGUAAAAGCCCACCAGGGCGACGAUCAGUAGCUGGUCUGAGAGGACGAUCAGCCACACUGGGACUGAGACACGGCCCAGACUCCUACGGGAGGCAGCAGUGGGGAAUUUUGGACAAUGGGGGCAACCCUGAUCCAGCAAUGCCGCGUGAGUGAAGAAGGCCUUCGGGUUGUAAAGCUCUUUUGUCAGGGAAGAAACACCGGCUCUAACACAGUCCGGGAAUGACGGUACCUGAAGAAUAAGCACCGGCUAACUACGUGCCAGCAGCCGCCGUAA
rnacentral:rRNA from 1 species